rnacentral:rRNA from 1 species
GGCCCGGGGCCGGGAACGGGGUGAGUAAUGCCUAGGAAUCUGCCUGGUAGUGGGGGAUAACGUCCGGAAACGGGCGCUAAUACCGCAUACGUCCUGAGGGAGAAAGUGGGGGAUCUUCGGACCUCACGCUAUCAGAUGAGCCUAGGUCGGAUUAGCUAGUUGGUGGGGUAAAGGCCUACCAAGGCGACGAUCCGUAACUGGUCUGAGAGGAUGAUCAGUCACACUGGAACUGAGACACGGUCCAGACUCCUACGGGAGGCAGCAGUGGGGAAUAUUGGACAAUGGGCGAAAGCCUGAUCCAGCCAUGCCGCGUGUGUGAAGAAGGUCUUCGGAUUGUAAAGCACUUUAAGUUGGGAGGAAGGGCAGUAAGUUAAUACCUUGCUGUUUUGACGUUACCAACAGAAUAAGCACCGGCUAACUUCGUGCCAACAGCCGCGGUAAUACGAAGGGGGGAAGCGUUUAUCGGAAUUACUGGGG